rnacentral:rRNA from 1 species
UAGGUGAACUGCGGAAGGAUCAUUACCGAGUGUAGGGUUCCUAGCGAGCCCAACCUCCCACCCGUGUUUACUGUACCUUAGUUGCUUCGGCGGGCCCGCCAUUCAUGGCCGCCGGGGGCUCUCAGCCCCGGGCCCGCGCCCGCCGGAGACACCACGAACUCUGUCUGAUCUAGUGAAGUCUGAGUUGAUUGUAUCGCAAUCAGUUAAAACUUUCAACAAUGGAUCUCUUGGUUCCGGCAUCGAUGAAGAACGCAGCGAAAUGCGAUAACUAGUGUGAAUUGCAGAAUUCCGUGAAUCAUCGAGUCUUUGAACGCACAUUGCGCCCCCUGGUAUUCCGGGGGGCAUGCCUGUCCGAGCGUCAUUGCUGCCCAUCAAGCACGGCUUGUGUGUUGGGUCGUCGUCCCCUCUCCGGGGGGGACGGGCCCCAAAGGCAGCGGCGGCACCGCGUCCGAUCCUCGAGCGUAUGGGGCUUUGUCACCCGCUCUGUAGGCCCGGCCGGCGCUUGCCGAACGCAAAUCAAUCUUUUUCCAGGUUGACCUCGAUCAGUAGGAACCCGCUGAC